GAAGCCAGGAAGCCAAAUUUCUCAUGAAAUAUCCACAUUUUAAAAGCAGUGAACUAGUAGCCAGGCGUGAGCCACCGCGCCCGGCCAAGUCACAUUUCUUGACCUCAUAAGGCUUAUAAUCUAGUUCCUGUUCUGUGUUCUAUUUCACUGGCGACCUAGGUGUUGAUACCCAAAAGAGCUUCUUCAAGAUCCCAAAGAGUAAAUCAGAUGAUACUGCAUUUCAGGUGGGUCCAAGACACCUGCCUACCCAGCCCUCAGUCCAAUGCAGUCCCCAGAAACGAAAUAAGAGGCCCAGAUUCCUCGUGAAGGAGUUAAGAGGCAGAGAAGGAUAGGGCUUGACAGUAUCACCAAACUCUCACUUCAACUGGCAGGGGGCCUGGGUCUCAACCCUCCAGUCUUCAAGGAAAGGGGUCUGGAGGGGGCAAGUGGUACGUGGCGUCCAGGAAGAUGACUAGGGUCCCAACGCUGGUGAAGAUGAUGAAAGUCCACAGGAAGAGGCGGUCCACUACCAUGGCCACAAACUGCCAGUCCUCCUUCAGCUGUGGGUAGGCAAAGGAAACUUCCUGAGCUCUGGGCCCAGACCCCCAGGGAAACCCCCCCAUUUCCCCGCCCGCUACCCGCUUGAGUCCUCCUACCACUGGUUUGAGGCAACAGCCGGCAGCGCCAACAGGAGAGCGAGACUGCAGGCAAUGCAUGGGCAUAAAGAACCAGUAGGUAAGCAGGGGGUGGGACCAAAUGAGGGAGAGGUCCAAUCAGAAACGAAAGCGAGGCCGGGCGCGGUGGCUCACGCCUGUAAUCCCAGCACUUUGGGAGGCCGAAGCG
rnacentral:lncRNA from 1 species